CUCCCCGCCGGGGGUGGCGCUCUCUGCGGAGGACCGGGUCCUGCCCGCUUGUUGUUGGAGUUGAAGAGGUUUGGUUUGGGUGUGUCAGUUUGUGAUCGCAGGGAGAGGAGAAGGAGCUGGGUGUCUUUGGGAAGUGUGGCCGCAGGAGCAGCUGGUGGAGCAAAGGAUCCUUUGUGACUCUGCAACUUCAACAUGUCGUUCGAAACGUGUGGUCCCAAUGAGGCCAUGGUUGUUUCAGGGUUCUGCCGAUCCCCGCCGGUGAUGAUCGCUGGAGGGCGUGUUUUUGUUUUGCCAUGCGUGCAGCAGAUUGAGAGGU